CGUAUAAAAUACGGGACGUAUUAUGUGAAACCCCUUGGCGGCGGGCGGGCGGCGGGCGGAAGGCAUCACUUUGUCCGGACUCUAAUUCAAAUUGUAUUCAUCCGAUCUUCACCAAACUUGGUCAGCAGUUGCAUCUAGUUGAUAUCUAGGCCAAGUUCGAAAUGGGUCAUGCCGGGUCAAAAACUAGGUCAUAGGGUCAAUAAGUGCAUUUUCAAAGGGGCCACUUUGUCCGGACUCUAUUUCAAAUUGUAUUCAUCCGAUCUUCACCAAACUUGGUCAGCAGUUGCAUCUAGUUGAUAUCUAGGCCAAGUUCGAAUAUGGGUCAUGCCGGGUCAAAAACUAGGUCAUAGGGUCAAUUAGUGCAUUUUCAACGGCGCCACUUUUUCCGGACUCUAAUUCAAAUUGUAUUCAUCCGAUCUUCACCAAAUUUGGUCAGAAGUUGUGUCUAGAUGAUAUGUAGGUCAAGUUCAAAUAUGGGUCAUGCCGGGUCAAAAACUAGGUCACGAGGUUACUUAGUGCAUUUCAAGCAUUUAGCAUGGUGUCCGCUCUCUAAUUGAAGUAGUUUUCAUCUGAUCUUCACCUAAUUUGGUCAGAAGUUGUGUCUAGAUGAUAUGUAGGUCAAGUUCGAACAUGGGUCAUGCCGGGUCAAAAACGAGGUCACAUAGUGCAUUUCAAGCAUUAAGCAUGUUGUCCGCUCUUUAAUUGAAGUAGUUUUCAUCUGAUCUUCACCAAAUUUAGUCAGAUGUUACAUCUAAGUGAUAUCUAGGUCAAGUUCAAAUAUGGGUCAUGCCGGGUCAAUAACUAGGUCUUGAGGACACUUUCAAGCAUUGAGCAUGGUGUCCAAAACCUUCGAACGGGCGUAUCUUGUGACAGUUUGGCACUCUUGUUAAGUUAUUAAAAUCUUAUUUAUGGCUUUUCUUUCACAACAGAAUGUUGUUUGAUCAUUUUUUUACUGAAUUAUAAACUGUGUUCAUCCAGGCAUUUACACAGUUUUACUUCAAACUUUGGGUGGUAAAUAUUUGUAAAAUCCUAUAUAAGUGAUCAGUUUUGUAUAUUCAAUUUGAAUGAAUCAGUUUAAUAUGUGUGUGUCUGGUUCACCUAUUAAUGUGCACGAUAAAUAGAUACACGCGGAACAAGUGCUCGUUAAACCUUAGUAUAAUAAUUUUAUUUAUUCCAAUUUUGAUGUUUUAUUCUAACUUGUAUUCUAAUAAUAUAAUGUGUUCUAAGUUUGUCAGUUCGAAUCUACACUUAGCGUUUGCAGUCACAAGAUAUUUUCACCAUGAGCCCUUAUUUAUUUAUUGAUUUUCAAGCCAUUAACCUGGAAAUGUGUAUUAUAUAGUUAUAAGUAUUUAGUUUUUAACUUGUAAACGUUUUGCAGAGAUGUUUACCUUAUGGUUUAUUAUAAAACUGUUUCUGUAAUUAAGUAUUGCUCUUCCCUGAUUAUCCUGCACAGAAAAUCUCAUGUUUAUAACCAUUACAAGGGCACCAUUUUUUUUCAAAGUUUGGCAUAUUUCUGUAUUUAUAGUUGGCUACAUGUUAAAUAGACACAAUGUCUUUGUAAAUAUUCAAACCAUGUUUUCAUAUAGAGAUACUUGUAGAAUUGCUAGGUAUGUUCUUUCUCUGAAUAAAAUGAUUAAAAAAGCAAACGUCCAUUUCCUGGUAAAAUCCUCAUACGCAUUUGUCCAUUUGUGUCUUUUUUUUCAAGUGCAAACAUAUUUAUUUCUUGUGACACUUAUAACAAUUUUGCUGGUCAUUUUAUAUGUUGACUUGUUUAUUUAAGAAAUACUGUACAUUCUGUACAUUGAAUAGGACUGUCAGCAUCAUAUAAUCACUGCAGAAUGUGAUACUUUAUCACUCACUGUGUUUAAAUACUUUGUUACAUCUUUUUUUUUAGAGCAGAAAUAUUGUACGUGCCCUUAUGUAACAUUAUGAUAAUGUAGUGUUGUACUGGUUUAUCAAGAAACACUAUCUUACAUAUUGAAUGUGUACACUUAUGAAACAUUAUGAUAAUCUAGUGUUGUACUGGUUUAUUCAGAAACACUUAAACUUACGUACUUCCAUAGCGUACCUACUAUAGCAUGAUUCAUGAUAAGUAUAGCAUGUAUUAUACAUUGUAUUUAUUGUAAAAGCAUUGUUUGAAUUUACAUGUGUAGUCUUUGUAAGACCUUUAUAUGUAGAUGUUAACUUAUAUUUAUUGAAUUUCUUGUCUUAAAUAACCCCCCACAGGAAUUGCUUUUCAUUUAGAUCAGUUGUUUUUAAUAAAUUGUCAUAUUAUACAAUCAAAGCCCCUUAGAAGCUUGCAGUUUUACGUUGAAUAUAUCAAGAAGUGCUCAACAUGUUUAAGAUCUUAAGUUUAAGGGCGCAAAACUGAUGAUUCUGGAAUAAACUUACAACAAUCAGUUCACAGAAAGUAAUAACAAGUUAAAAAAAAUACAAAUAUAAUAAUAUUGGUAGAAAUUGAUAUUAAUUCAUACAUGGAUUGCAACAUAAAACCCUACUAGCUUAUUUGGCAAACUGCAUUGCCCUGCCCCAUGUGUCUUAUUUGCCUAAUUAAUCAAGAAAAACCCUGUGAAAUUACCUCGCCUUAAAAUCCAUAUAAUUUCUGUCUCAUACAUUGAUACCAAUAUGUUGUCAGCUUGUGUUAAUACAAGUGUAUGUAUGGACACAAUUCUUUACGUGUGUAUGUAUGGGCAAAGUUAUGUGUUUAAAGUUUGUUUUUCUUGCAAUGAGUUCAUGUUUCAUGCUUACAGAAACAUGUCCCUUGAAAGCCUGCAAAGCUUAUCAGCCUUAAGACAGUCAUGUACUCAUGGCACUGUCUGACUCAAAGAUCGGUGUUAAGCCUUCAAUAUUGCAUUUAAAGGUCAUAUGCUCCUAUUUAUGAAACACAAGUUCCAUGAAGUGGAUGAUUAACACUUUAGUGUCUAUUUUUGUGUAUUUUUCAUGAGCAGGAGUAUUGUAAACCAGCGUUUAUAGUAUUUUAUUUAUAUACGUUUAUUAAGUUAGUAGUUAUUUAAAUUGUGUUACUGUUGAUGAAAUUGACUGACAAAUUUAAGUAAUCUAGCAUUCAUUUGUCAUUCCACGUUUAAUUUUGCAAAAUUUUAGAACCUGCGUUUUGAAGUGAAACAUUCCAACUUUAUUGAUGCAUAAACAUGUGAUAGUAGUUAUAAAGUUAUAAACAGGAAAGUAUAAUUAAUACAAAACUAGAAUGUUUAUUUAAAUAUACAUUCCAGGAAAUAUUGAUGCAGGAUUUUGUCAAAAUCUGUCAAGAAUGCAAGGUCGUUCUCCUGUUAUUCUUCCAAAACUGAAAUAUAAUCCAUGUAAGUUUGAAGCCAGACUGUAGUAUCUGUUCAACAUGUAUGUAAUAGACUCACUUGUUGAAAACUCAACUGUCAAUUAUUGCUAUACAGCCCAAACUAUACAUAAACAUAAAUUGUUACAAACUUAAGGACUUAAGGACAAAUAGCACAAUUUGACACGUUUUAAAAUGACUUGGUAACACAAUUUCACCCUUAUAAAGAUGAAAUCAUUUUGUCUAUAGAGAAAUAGCCAUUCUCCAAAAUGUGUAUCAGAUGUGUAUCAGAUGCUCUGUCUCAGUGGUGCAUUAUUUUUUAUUUGCCUAAA